rnacentral:sRNA from 10 species
CUGUCUUUGGUAUUUCAACAUAUUGGGAGGACAUUUUUGACUUCACGGUUCUGUUUCCCCUUUCUUCCUCACUUAGCUUCUUCCGCCCAUGCUUUUAAUUGCAAAAAAAUAGUUGAAACGAGAGAGGAGAGCUUGGAUCAACGAGAUUUUUUUCUUUGCAGGAAGAGAACAAUUAAGGGUGAAUUUCAAACCAAAAAGCUUCAUUCCAGCCCUCAUACUUGGUUUCAUAUUUGGGUUGUCGCUGGAUUUGUUAAAACUCACUAAGACUUUCCGAGAAGAAAAACUUCCUACCUGGAAAGCUUCAAGAACAAGACUUUGUUUCCAUUAAUGCUGAACAAGACCUUAAAAUGUCCAAGAAUGGCCUCCCUCCUCACCAAAAAACCAGACACAGGAAGACCUCUUUCUUGAAGAAUCUCCAAAUAAAAAAGUCAAGAUGAGGUAACAGACAAGUAUUUUACAUUUUCAUACUUUAUUUUAGAUUUCUGAAUUUAAUAAUAUACAUUUAGGAUAUCUUUUCAGUGACAAUGUUGUUGUUAUGUUUAUAUUUUCCUUGCUAUUUGAUAUUGAUGCUUGGCAAUUACAAUUGUUUUUUUAUUAAAACUAUAACAUACCUUUUUCAUUUAAUUUGCUUUGAUGAUUUGUGUUGGGUACUUUUCUGAGUUUGAUAAUAUACAUUUAAGAUAUUUUCUAAAUCACAGUGUUGCUUUUUGUAUUUCUGAAAGUUUGUUGUUGGUUUCUAUAUCAGAUUAUUUAUUCACUCUUUCUUUUGAACUAACUAAUUUUUUUUUGUUCUUUCCAUCUUUUUAAUUGGAGAAAAUAAUUACUUGAUAGUGACAGACAUGUACAAAAGUGUUGCAAAAAGUUCAAAUAUGUUAUCCAAGUUCAUUUCCCUUUCUUUGUUCAUCUUUUUUUUUUACAAGAUUUGAAAAGGUAAAAAAAAUAAUUUUCUAUAGCAAAAGAAAGCCACCCACUCCCCCUUCUCUCCUAUUCCAAAAUCUAGACCAAUUGGUGGUAAUAACUACCAGCAUUUUCUAUUCAAAUUUUGAACAAGGAAAAACAAAGAAAAAGCCAAUGUGUAUGCAAAUAAGAGAUAAAGAUUUCAUUGGCUGCAUGUUUAGCACAAUAUUUAAUUUAAUGUUAGAUUCUUGAUCUACUGUUUGAUAUAUUGACUUACCCUCUUCUUCCAGCUUUGCUCAACUUUUUUUUUUUAUUUAGAAACUCACCUGCCAUUAUGUAAAUGAUUAUAGUCAAUUUUUUUUAUGUGGGAAACUUUCACUUUUCUUUUUUAUUGCAGCAAAGACAUGAGAAAAAGGCACACACACACCUUAUGUCUUAUCUAUUGCAUUAUAAUUUGUUUAUGUUAUUCUUUCAUUGCUGAUUAUUCAUGAAAGAUAGUAAAAUAAUCUUUCUGCAUAUUCUUUUCAUUUUUUUUAUCUUAAACGGACCAUCUCUUAUUUAAUAUUUGUUGCUGCACUAAACAUGGACAAGACAAACAUGGCUGAAGAUCUAUAAUCACUGGUGUAACAUGACUUUUUGUUGCUUCAUAAACAUCAUCUUAUUUGUCUGAUGUUGUCCAAAAAUUGACGUUGCAUAUUUUGAAACAAUAUGUACAUAUCAAAGUUUGUCCUUUUUUGACAACAAAGUGUUCAAUUGUUCAUCAUUGAAAAUAGAACAACUUUUAUACA